rnacentral:rRNA from 1 species
AAAACAUGUCUCUUUGAGUUUUUUUAAUAGGGAGUUGGGCCUGCUCGGUGAUUUAUAUUUAACAGCUGCGGUAUUAUAACUGUACUAAGGUAGCAUAAUAAUUUGCCUUAUAAAUUGGGGCUAGAAUGAAUGGUUUGACGAAAAUUAUACUGUCUCUAUUUUAUUCAUUAGAAGUUAAUUUUUAUAGUGAGAAAGCUUGGAUGAUUUAAAGGGACGAAAAGACCCUAUUGAGCUUUAUAUUAUAUUUUAAAUAUAAUAUGUUUUGUGUUUAUUUAUAUAAUUUUGGUUGGGGUGAUCAAGGAAUAAAAUGUAUUUUUAAUUAACUUCCUUAAAUGGUGAUAUAUAUAAAUGAAUAAACCAAGUUUUUUGCUUAGAAGAUAAGUUACCAUAGGGAUAACAGCGUAAUUUUUUUUGAAAGUUCAUAUUGAAAAAAGAGAUUGCGACCUCGAUGUUGGAUUAAAAUGACCUUAAGGUGAAGAGGCUUUAAUUGGUAAAUCUGUUCGAUUUUUAAAAUUUUACGUGA